rnacentral:rRNA from 1 species
AUGGUCAAAAUAGAUUUGGCAAAAGCUUUUGACAGGUUAGAAUGGCACUUCAUCAUCUCUGCUUUCCAUCAUAAAGGGUUGCAUGGUCAUUUUAUAAAUCUUAUCCACUCUUGCAUCUCUCCGAUUUUUUCUGUUAUCGUAAAUGGACAAUCUUUUGCGCACUUUAAAAGUAGUCGAGGUAUAAGACAGGGGUGUCCCCUUUCCCCUUUGCCUUUUGUGCUUGCGGUUAAUGAACUAUCGUUGGCUUUUCAGGAUGCACUGCAAUCCAAUCACCUAGUAGGUAUCUCACUUGGACCUGAAUGCCCUCCUAUUCACUCCUUAAUGUUUGCGGAUGAUUUACUGGUUUGUGGAAAAGCUAAUGUGCAGGAGGCAUUGAAUAUUUCCAAUAUUUUACAUCAAUUUUGUCAGCUUUCGGGUUAG